AGUGAACGCUGGCGGUAGGCCUAACACAUGCAAGUCGAACGGCAGCACAGUAAGAGCUUGCUCUUACGGGUGGCGAGUGGCGGACGGGUGAGGAAUACAUCGGAAUCUACUUUUUCGUGGGGGAUAACGUAGGGAAACUUACGCUAAUACCGCAUACGACCUACGGGUGAAAGCAGGGGAUCUUCGGACCUUGCGCGAUUGAAUGAGCCGAUGUCGGAUUAGCUAGUUGGCGGGGUAAAGGCCCAUCAAGGCGACGAUCCGUAGCUGGUCUGAGAGGAUGAUCAGCCACACUGGAACUGAGACACGGUCCAGACUCCUACGGGAGGCAGCAGUGGGGAAUAUUGAACAAUGGGCGCAAGCCUGAUCCAGCCAUACCGCGUGGGUGAAGAAGGCCUUCGGGUUGUAAAGCCCUUUUGUUGGGAAAGAAAAGCAGCAGGUUAAUACCCCGCUGUUCUGACGGUACCCAAAGAAUAAGCACCGGCUAACUUCGUG
rnacentral:rRNA from 1 species